rnacentral:tRNA from 3 species
GCGAGAGUGGCGAAAUUGGUAUACGCACUAGACUUAGGAUCUAGCGUCUUUGUACAUGUGGGUUCGAGUCCCACCUUUCGCACCA